rnacentral:rRNA from 1 species
UUGAACGCUGGCGGCAUGCCUUACACAUGCAAGUCGAACGGUAGAGGGGCAACCCUUGAGAGUGGCGAACGGGUGAGUAAUAUAUCGGAACGUGCCCAGUCGUGGGGGAUAACGCAGCGAAAGCUGCGCUAAUACCGCAUACGAUCUAUGGAUGAAAGCGGGGGAUCGCAAGACCUCGCGCGAUUGGAGCGGCCGAUAUCAGAUUAGGUAGUUGGUGGGGUAAAAGCCCACCAAGCCGACGAUCUG